rnacentral:rRNA from 1 species
AGAGUUUGAUCAUGGCUCAGAUUGAACGCUGGCGGCAGGCUUAACACAUGCAAGUCGAGCGGAGAUGAGGUGCUUGCACCUUAUCUUAGCGGCGGACGGGUGAGUAAUGCUUAGGAAUCUGCCUAUUAGUGGGGGACAACAUUCCGAAAGGAAUGCUAAUACCGCAUACGUCCUACGGGAGAAAGCAGGGGAUCUUCGGACCUUGCGCUAAUAGAUGAGCCUAAGUCGGAUUAGCUAGUUGGUGGGGUAAAGGCCUACCAAGGCGACGAUCUGUAGCGGGUCUGAGAGGAUGAUCCGCCACACUGGGACUGAGACACGGCCCAGACUCCUACGGGAGGCAGCAGUGGGGAAUAUUGGACAAUGGGGGGAACCCUGAUCCAGCCAUGCCGCGUGUGUGAAGAAGGCCUUAUGGUUGUAAAGCACUUUAAGCGAGGAGGAGGCUACUGAGACUAAUACUCUUGGAUAGGUACCGUAAGAAUAAGCACCGGCUAACUACGUGCCAGCAGCCGCGGUAAUACGUAGGGUGCAAGCGUUAAUCGGAAUUACUGGGCGUAAAGCGUGCGCAGGCGGUUUUGUAAGACAGAGGUGAAAUCCCCGGGCUCAACCUGGGAACUGCCUUUGUGACUGCAAGGCUAGAGUACGGCAGAGGGGGAUGGAAUUCCGCGUGUAGCAGUGAAAUGCGUAGAUAUGCGGAGGAACACCGAUGGCGAAGGCAAUCCCCUGG